rnacentral:rRNA from 1 species
CGCACGAGCGCACCCCUAUCCUUAUUUGCCAGCACGUAAUGGUGGGAACUCUAGGGAGACUGCCGGUGAUAAACCGGAGGAAGGUGGGGACGACGUCAAGUCAUCAUGGCCCUUACGAGUAGGGCUACACACGUGCUGCAAUGGCGUAUACAGAGGGUUGCAAAGCCGCGAGGUGGAGCUAAUCUCACAAAGUACGUCGUAGUCCGGAUCGGAGUCUGCAACUCGACUCCGUGAAGUCGGAAUCGCUAGUAAUCGUGGAUCAGAAUGCCACGGUGAAUACGUUCCCGGGCCUUGUACACACCGCCCGUCACACCAUGGGAGUGGGCUGCAAAAGAAGUGGGUAGUUUAACCUUCGGGAGAACGCUCACCACUUUGUGGUUCAUGACUGGGGUGAAGUCGUAACAAGGUAGCCCUAGGGGAACCUGGGGCUGGAUCACCUCCUU